rnacentral:rRNA from 1 species
AAUCCAUAGGUUAAUGAGGCGAACCGGGGGAACUGAAACAUCUAAGUACCCCGAGGAAAAGAAAUCAACCGAGAUUCCCCCAGUAGCGGCGAGCGAACGGGGAGGAGCCCAGAGCCUGAAUCAGCAUGUGUGUUAGUGGAAGCGUCUGGAAAGGCGCGCGAUACAGGGUGACAGCCCCGUACACAAAAGCGCAUGUGCUGUGAGCUCGAUGAGUAGGGCGGGACACGUGGUAUCCUGUCUGAAUAUGGGGGGACCAUCCUCCAAGGCUAAAUACUCCUGACUGACCGAUAGUGAACCAGUACCGUGAGGGAAAGGCGAAAAGAACCCCGGCGAGGGGAGUGAAAAAGAACCUGAAACCGUGUACGUACAAGCAGUGGGAGCACCCUUCGGGGUGUGACUGCGUACCUUUUGUAUAAUGGGUCAGCGACUUAUAUUCUGUAGCAAGGUUAACCGAAUAGGGGAGCCGGAGGGAAACCGAGUCUUAAUUGGGCGUUAAGUUGCAGGGUAUAGACCCGAAACCCGGUGAUCUAGCCAUGGGCAGGUUGAAGGUUGGGUAACACUAACUGGAGGACCGAACCGACUAAUGUUGAAAAAUUAGCGGAUGACCUGUGGCUGGGGGUGAAAGGCCAAUCAAACCGGGAGAUAGCUGGUUCUCCCCGAAAGCUAUUUAGGUAGCGCCUCGUGAAUUCAUCUCCGGGGGUAGAGCACUGUUUCGGCUAGGGGGCCAUCCCGGCUUACCAACCCGAUGCAAACUGCGAAUACCGGAGAAUGUUAUCACGGGAGACACACGGCGGGUGCUAACGUCCGUCGUGAAGAGGGAAACAACCCAGACCGCCAGCUAAGGUCCCAAAGUCAUGGUUAAGUGGGAAACGAUGUGGGAAGGCCCAGACAGCCAGGAUGUUGGCUUAGAAGCAGCCAUCAUUUAAAGAAAGCGUAAUAGCUCACUGGUCGAGUCGGCCUGCGCGGAAGAUGUAACGGGGCUAAACCAUGCACCGAAGCUGCGGCAGCGACACUGUGUGUUGUUGGGUAGGGGAGCGUUCUGUAAGCCUGCGAAGGUGGCCUGUGAGGGUUGCUGGAGGUAUCAGAAGUGCGAAUGCUGACAUAAGUAACGAUAAAGCGGGUGAAAAGCCCGCUCGCCGGAAGACCAAGGGUUCCUGUCCAACGUUAAUCGGGGCAGGGUGAGUCGACCCCUAAGGCGAGGCCGAAAGGCGUAGUCGAUGGGAAACGGGUUAAUAUUCCCGUACUUGGUGUUACUGCGAAGGGGGGACGGAGAAGGCUAUGUUGGCCGGGCGACGGUUGUCCCGGUUUAAGCGUGUAGGUGUGUGUUCCAGGUAAAUCCGGUUCACUUUAACACUGAGGCGUGACGACGAGGCACUACGGUGCUGAAGCAACAAAUGCCCUGCUUCCAGGAAAAGCCUCUAAGCAUCAGGUAACAUCAAAUCGUACCCCAAACCGACACAGGUGGUCAGGUAGAGAAUACCAAGGCGCUUGAGAGAACUCGGGUGAAGGAACUAGGCAAAAUGGUGCCGUAACUUCGGGAGAAGGCACGCUGACAUGUAGGUGAAGUGAUUUACUCAUGGAGCUGAAGUCAGUCGAAGAUACCAGCUGGCUGCAACUGUUUAUUAAAAACACAGCACUGUGCAAACACGAAAGUGGACGUAUACGGUGUGACGCCUGCCCGGUGCCGGAAGGUUAAUUGAUGGGGUCAGCGCAAGCGAAGCUCCUGAUCGAAGCCCCGGUAAACGGCGGCCGUAACUAUAACGGUCCUAAGGUAGCGAAAUUCCUUGUCGGGUAAGUUCCGACCUGCACGAAUGGCGUAAUGAUGGCCAGGCUGUCUCCACCCGAGACUCAGUGAAAUUGAACUCGCUGUGAAGAUGCAGUGUACCCGCGGCAAGACGGAAAGACCCCGUGAACCUUUACUAUAGCUUGACACUGAACAUUGAGCCUUGAUGUGUAG